GUGAGGGAUUCACCGGGAAAGAUGGCCGCCCGGGCUGGAGGCACAGGGCGGCAGCUGUGACUGUGCUUACUAAAGAAAGCUGGUCUUCACCCCUGGGAGGUGGCGCAUAUGUGCUUCCAAAUGGGAGGCCGGAUGUGGCUGGGCCAGCUGAUAUUUUGGAGCCCAAGGACCGAUCGCCAAGGCCACGUCCUCAGGGUGGCCUUCAGAGGGAUCUAUUUCAGGAGGGACCCAGAAAGUCGGGACUACUGUGACCCUUGCGUUUUUUCCCCACCAGUGUUGGCUGGCUUGACUGGAGGAGAUGCUUUUGAAGGGCUCUGAGGUGCCUGGGAGGGGCCCUGGAAGCCAAGCCAGGAGGGGAGUUUUGGGGAGGCGGGAGUGGGGGAGGGUGCAAGAACAAGGCACAGGAGAGACCAGGGAAAGAUAAUUGGAGCCCUUGGAACUGAGCUCCCAGCGACAGCCUCUGCCCAUAGCGUGGAGAACGUUAAGUCCAGCUCCCUGGAGGCAGAAUUCAUCUCUGCGGUUUCCCUUCCAGAGCAUGUGGCCGGCAUCUCCACUAAGACGAAUCACAGCAGGGCAGGCCUGAAAAGACAUAUUUUGGAGAACAUGUAUUGACUGUUCCAGCUGUGAGCAUGCUUCCUGCCCUCCCUCCAGGCUGCCCAGCAGUGCCGCUGCUGCAAAUCCAGGGGUUGCUGAGAGGACGGACUGCUCACAGGGCAGCUGCUGAGGUACAGAACCCACAGGUCGGGGACACGGUCACUGCCAGCUGCCACUCAAGAAAGAAGACGUGGCAGGAAGUUGCUGUGAAAGGAGGUGGACUUGUCUGCCGGGCCAUUUCCUUCCCACCUAAGCUCCUGCCAGAUGGCUCCCAGUUGCUGUGUUUGAGCCCAGGCUGACCACUUCCUAGGCAGUGGCGUUGGAGAUGGGUGUGGCCUUGCCUCCAGGAUCUCCUCACAGCUUGUGCUUCCUGACAGCUGUGGACACUUGGGCUGACUGCAGACCUCCCGCUACCCUGAUUUCCAGCAAGAAAGAACUAUUCCUUCCAGCCCAGAACACUGUCUCUGAACAGCAAGAUGGCUUUGAAACGCUUUCACAACGAAGGUGUGCUCCACUGGGCACCACAACAUACGGUUCAGACGUUUAAAGCCUGUCUCAGCCCAAUUUCCUCUCCAUUUGCUCCCUGGGUAAGGUAUCCCCCCUUCAGUGCAGGCAGAACUGGCGACUUGCUUCUAAUCAACAAAAUAUGGCAAAGUGGUGGAGUCUAGAAGUCUGAGAUCAGGGCACCAGCCUGGCCGAGUUCUGAUGGCGUCUCGCUUUGUCACCCAGGCUGGAGUGCAGUGGCGCGAUCUCGGUUCACUGCAACAUCUACCUCCCAGGUUCAAGUGAUUCUCCUGCCUUAGCCUCCCGAGUAGCUGGGAUUACAGGCACCCACCACCACAUCCGGCGAAUUUUUUGUAUUUUUAGUAGAGACAGGGUUUCACCAUGUUGGCCAGGAUGGUCUUGAUUUCCUGACCUGGUGAUCUGCCCACCUUGGCCUCCCAAACUGCUGGGAUUGCAGGCGUGAGCCACCGUGCCUGGCCGACCACUGAUCUUUUCACUGUAUCCACAGUGUUGCCUUUUCCAGAAUGUCAUAGAAUUUGAAUCAUACUAUAUGUUGCCCUUUCAGAUGAGUUUCUUUCACUUACUAAUAUUCAUUUGUUUCCUCCAUGUCUUUUGGCUUGAUAAUUCAUUUCUUUUUAUCACUGAAUAAUAUUCCAUUGUCUGAUGUACCACAGUUUAUUUACGCAUUUACCUACUGAAGGAUAUCAGGACAUCUUAGUUGCCUCUGAGUUUUUGGCAAUUAUGAAUAAAACUGCUAUAGAAAGAUGUGUGCAGGUUUUUCUGUGGAUAUAGUUUUCAACUCCUUUGGGUAACUCCAAGGAGUGUGGUCGCUGGAUCAUAUAGUAAGAGUAUGUGUAGUUUUGUAACAAAUAGCCAAAUGUUCUCCAAAGUGGCAUUAGCAUUUUGCUUUCCCACCAGCAAGGAAUAAGAGUUCCUGUUGCUCUGUAUCCUCACCAGCAUUUGGUGGUGUCAGUGUUCUGGAUUUUGGCCAUUGUAAUAAAUGUGUGGUGUUAUCUCAUUGUUGUUUUAAUUUGCAUUUGCCUGAUGACAUACAAUGUGGAACAUCUUUUUAUUGAAGCUAAUGUUUUAAGCCUGGCAAUUUAGUCUCUUCUCUUCCUGUAACCCUGAGCCACUGAGCACAGCUUUCUCCAGAAGCACCUGUGAGUCACUAUACACCACUGCUAUCUCCUGAAUGCUGGAGGCACUGGAGUGGGCCCUUUCAACUUUCAUUUUCUUAUUACCUAGAGAACUUGGCAUUGGUAGAUGCCCAAAAAAUGUAUGUGAGAUGCCUGCACAUUAAAAGACUGGCUGAAAACUUAAGCAGUAUACUGGUUUAGAUCAUUCAUCGCUGUCGGCAAGAGUAAAAAGCUAUGUAGCAGCAUUCUGAAGUAAUAAGCAACAGGCAUGUUAUUUCAGUUUCCAGAUCAAGUGCUGCUCUCAAAAUUGCAAAUUGACUUCUGGCCAGAGCCCUCUUGGAAGUUUCCUCAUUUUGCAAGUGCAGCUCUUUCCCCUGCUUGACAGGGGAAUGUACUGAGCACUCCCAGAUGGGCCUUUCCCAAGCAGGAACCAAUGGGCCCAAAUGAAUCAAGUUGAAGGAGAGUGAGCAGAGUCAGCAGUGAGAGAAAGACUUAGCUGCAAGGUCAAAAUCCGUCUGAAAACAGACACGAUGGAAGACAGACAGUUCCUCCUGGAUCAUCGUAUAAAGAAAAGGGAUGGAUCAAGACAGGGAUUGCUGAUGCAUAUCUGCUCGCUGUUUGACUACAAAAUACUCUCAUGAUUGAUUCUGUGUCUGCCACCCAAGAUCAGUCUCAAGGAAAUGCUGACAAAACCCUGGCACCCAGAGUCACAGAGCUCAGUUUCCAGCCCUAGCACCACCCUUGAUAACUUGAGUGACCUUGGACUCCUGGUCUCUGCCUCAGUUUCCAAAUUAAAUGAGUGUGGUGAAAACUUCUUCCUGGUCUGCUAUGGUGAAGAAGCAUGGCAGCUAAUAUGAAAUGCCUUGAAAAGCUGACACACUCUAUGAGAGCAAAGUAUUAAUAUUUUCCUCUUAGAAGCAAGUUCUUUUUUUGAAAUGGAGUCCAUUCUCUCUCCAAGUUGGAGUGUGCAGUGCUGUGAUCUCUGCUCACUGCAAUCUCCACCUCCCGAGUUCAAGCAAUUCUCCUACCUAAUCCUACCAAGUAGCUGGUAUUACAGGCACGCACCACCAUGCCCAGCUAAUUUUUGUAUUUUUAGUAGAGAUGGGGUUUCGCCAUGUUGGCCAGGCUAGUCUCGAACUCCUUACCUCAGGUGAUCUGCCCGCCUUGGCCUUCCAAAUUGCUGGGAUUACAGGUGUGAGCCACCGCACCUGGCCAGUAGCAAGUUCUUAAAGUGACCCCUUGCCCAAUCAACAUCUUUUCCUUUUGUCUGUCUCUACUGCAGCACCUAAAACACAUGGGUAAAAAUGUAGAGAAUGCAGAAUUGAGGGGACCAACAGCCUUCAGGAAAAUAAAGAAGCAGAGAAAGAAUAUGAAGGAAGCAUGAGUACAAAGCAAAGGCUCCAAGCCGCAGAUAAUCUAUCCUGGAAAAUGUUCCAUGUGGUGAUGAGAAGAAUGUAUAUUCUGUAGCUGUUGGAUGAAAUGUUCUGGAAGUGUCUAUUAAAUCCUUUUGGACUAAAGUGCUGUUUAAAUCCAAUGUUCACUGUAAAUUUUCUGUCUAGAUGAUCUGUCUAAUGCUAAGAGUAGAGUGUUGAAGUCCCCAUUCACUAUUGUAUUGGAGUCUGUCUCUCCCCUGCGAUAUAAUAAUAUUUGCUUUAUAUAUAUGGGUGCUCAAGUGUUGGAUGCAUACACAUGUUCAGAAUUGUUAUACCCUCUUGGUGAAUUGAUCCCCUUAUCAUUACAUAAUGACCUUCUUUGUCUCUUUUUACUGUUUUUGACUGAGCUGCUUCUGCUUACUUUGGAGUCCAUUGCAUGGAAUGUCUGUUUCCAUCCCUAUAUUUUCUGUCUACAGGUGAGGAGUUCAUAGUGGAAAUGUGGACCACUGGGGGUCUCUCACUUAUCCUUUCCCCAUGCUGGGAAGCCUCUCCAGGCUUCCAGCUGAUCCUAGCUGAGCAGGCAGCCUUGCUUUCUUUCCUUCCUUGAUUUAGGUGUUUCUUGUCACUUCUCUGUUUAAUUCCAAUAUUCUUUUUUAAAUAAUCUAAUCAAAGUGUGAUUAUCUACUCACUAUUUUGGUUCUUCCUUAUAGAGAAGGCAAGUACCAGAUGCCUCUAGUAAGCCAUCUUGAACCCCUCCUCACCUUAUUCUUCUUUAAUUUAAAAGUCCUGUUAUUGAAAUUUAAUGCUUACACCUACCUGGAAUUUAUUUUGUGUAUGGUAUGAGAUGGGGCUUCAAUUUUAUUUUUAUUUUGCAUAUAAAUAAUUAAUCAUACCAAUAACAUUAAAUUUUUUUUCUAACUGCUCUACAGUUCCACCUCUUUCAUAUAUCAAGUUUGCAUUCAUGUAUAGGCCUGCUCCUUCCUUUUAUUCUGUUACAUUGGUUUAUCUGUCUUUUCUGUACCAAUUCCACACAAUUUUAUUUACUCUAGCUUUAUGAAUAGAUUUAUUAUUUGAUUAAAAAUAAACUCCAUUAAAUGUCUGCUUCAAAAUUGCCUUGGCUAUUUGUGACACUUUACCAUAUAAAUUUUAUUUUAUUAUUAUUUACUUUUAUUUAUUAUUUGGUUUUUUUGGGAGACAG
rnacentral:lncRNA from 1 species